AUGAGAUACCAGAACUGUACUGGAAGAGCGAGGAGACGUCAGGCAGGGGGCCCCGUGCGCUGCCCGGCCCCACGCAGACACCGACACCGGGAGCUCAACCCCCGGCUUUGUUGUGGGGGCCGAUGGCUCCGGGACCCUCCGGAACGGGGGGGCCGGGCCGGAGGGGGCCCAGGCCCUGAGGUCUGUCUGUCUGUCUGUCUGUCCACCCACAGUGGGUGGGGGCGGCGUCCAGAGUUCCGGGGGCAGCUGUGCGUGCCCAGCGGGGCUCGAAUGCCCCGGGCAGGGAUCGAUUGCCCCGGGCGGGGAUCGAUUGCCCCAGGCGGGGAUCGAUUGCCCCAAAUGGGGAUCGAUUGCCCCGGCCGGGGAUCGAUUGCCCCGGGCAGGGAUCGAUUGCCCCGGGCGGGGAUCGAUUGCCCCGGGCGGGGAUCAAUUGCCCCGGGCAGGGAUCAAUUGCCCCGGGCGGGGAUCGAUUGCCCCAGGCGGGGAUCGAUUGCCCCGGCGGGGAUCAAUUGCCCCGAGCAGGGUUCGAUUGCCCCGGGCGGGGAUCGAUUGCCCCGGGCAGGGCUCCCUUGCCCCGGGCAGGGCUCGAUUGCCCCAGGCGGGGCUCGGUUGCCCUGGGCAGGGCUCCCUUGCCCCGGGCAGGG
rnacentral:lncRNA from 1 species